rnacentral:rRNA from 1 species
CUCUUUCUCGAUUCAGUGGAUGGUGGUGCAUGGCCGUUCUUAGUUGGUGGAGUGAUCUGUCUGGUUAAUUCCGAUAACGAACGAGACUCUCCCCUGCUAACUAGUCGGUUGGAUCUUGAUCAGCGGGUUGCGUGCCGAGUAACUCUCGCUGCGAGGGUGGUGCGUCUCGGGCUUCGGUUUGUUGACUUCUCUCGUGUGGUGUGGGAUGCUAAGGAUCACACUGCACCCCAACUCCGCCGGUUAUGCUAUAAUUUUUGUUAGAGGGAUUCGAGGCAAUGAAGCCGUAAGAGACUGAGAGCAAUAACAGGUCUGUGAUGCCAUUAGAUGGUUUGGACCGCACGCGGGAUACAAUGCCGGGCACAGCAGGUGUUUCUCUUGCUCCGACAGGAGCGGGUAACCCUCUGAAAGCCAGUGUUAGUGCAAGUGAUUCGUCCCUCGUGGAGUUUCACAGAGGCGUGUUUGGGCCUGGGACUUGCAAUUCUUUCCCACCAACGAGGAAUGCCUAGUAGCGGCGGGUCAAUGAGCCCGCUGUGACUCAGUCCCUGCCCUUUGUACACACCGCCCGUAGUUACUACCGAUUGGGUGUACCAGUGAGAGCCUUGGACUGGCGUCCGUUGUUGCUCGCAAGAGCGACAAGCGGGUCCGACGGAAAGAGGUCCGAA